AGCAAGAAAGAGAUAGUUAACAAGCACCAUAAGGGAAAGUUGAAAAGAACCUUGAAGAAAGAAUUCUGAGGGCUAACAUCGGAAGA